UACGGGGGGGGCAAGCGUUGUUCGGAAUUACUGGGCGUAAAGGGCUCGUAGGCGGCCAACUAAGUCAGACGUGAAAUCCCUCGGCUUAACCGGGGAACUGCGUCUGAUACUGGAUGGCUCGAAUCCGGGAGAGGGAUGCGGAAUUCCAGGUGUAGCGGUGAAAUGCGUAGAUAUCUGGAGGAACACCGGUGGCGAAGGCGGCAUCCUGGACCGGCAUUGACGCUGAGGAGCGAAAGCCAGGGGAGCAAACGGG
rnacentral:rRNA from 1 species